UACGGAGGGUGCGAGCGUUAAUCGGAAUUACUGGGCGUAAAGCGUGCGUAGACGGUUAUUUAAGUCAGGUGUGAAAGCCCCGGGCUCAACCUGGGAAUUGCAUUUGAGACUGAAUAGCUAGGGUGCGGAAGAGGGAAGCGGAAUUUCCGGUGUAGCGGUGAAAUGCGUAGAGAUCGGGAGGAAGGCCGGUGGCGAAGGCGGCGCUCUGGAACAUUUCUGACGCUGAGGCUCGAAAGCGUGGGGAGCAAACAGG
rnacentral:rRNA from 1 species